GACAGAGGGUGCAAACGUUGUUCGGAAUUACUGGGCGUAAAGCGUGUGUAGGCGGUCACGUAAGUCGGAUGUGAAAGCCCUGGGCUCAACCCAGGAAGUGCACUCGAUACUGCGUGGCUUGAGUACUGGAGAGGUUGGUGGAAUUCUCGGUGUAGAGGUGAAAUUCGUAGAUAUCGAGAGGAACACCGGUGGCGAAGGCAGCCAACUGGACAGAUACUGACGCUGAAACACGAAAGCGUGGGGAGCAAACAGG
rnacentral:rRNA from 1 species